rnacentral:lncRNA from 1 species
UGUGACUGAAGCUGACUCACCAGCAUCACAUGCAUGUUCUGGCUCAUUGGAAGGGUGAAAGAGAGGAAGUGGAGGACCAGCAGUUCCCUUUUUAGGAAAGUGAUGAAGAUACUGACACAUCACUUGCACUCACAUUCUGUUCAUGAGAAUUUAGUCACAAGGCCACAUCCAGUUGCAAGGGAAGCUGAGAAGUGAGAUCCCAGUAGGGUGACCACAUGCCCUGUUAAAACUCCAUGGGAGGGUAUAAAUGGAAGAAGAGAGGAUAAAUUUUGGAGGACAAUUAGCCAUCGAUGCCACAUGGACUCAGAGCCUGGCAGAAUUAUGAUCCAAGAAAGGCAAUAGGUCUACGUCUAUCAUUAGCCACAUCCAUUCCAAACCUCCUGAACUGGCACCACAAGUGGGCAAGAUAGUGGCAGGGGAGAAGGUAGCACCACUUUCUUCUUUGAUCCUUCAAAUAGGCCAGAAUCUGUUAUCAAGGGUGCCCAGUUAACUAACUUGGAAGCCAUUCAGUCAUUCGACAGAUAAUUAAUGGAGCAUCUGCUAUGUGUCUGGCAUUGCCUAGGCACUGGGUGCAGGGAUGUCCUUGUGGAGUUUCUAGGAGAGUGGAGGAGGUAGAUGUUUAACAACAAAGAACUUUGCUAGAUAUAUAAUUACAAAUUAUGACAAAUGCCAUGAAGGAAAGAGUAGAGGAUUCUGUGAAGAACUUGAGAUAUGGAUUUCAUUCAUAUUAGAGAUAGAGGGAGGUCUUGGAGGGAGUAUUUAAGCUGAGAUCUAAAAGAUGUGCUGGAAUUGGCUGGUGGAUGAUGAAAGGGAAAUAAUGGUCUAGGUAGACUGUCUUAGUCCAUUCAGGCUGCCGUAACAAAAUGCCAUAGGCUGGGUAGCUUAUAAACAAUAGAAACUUGGCCGGGCGCGGUGGCUCACGCCUGUAAUCCCAGCACUUUGGGAGGCCGAGGCGGGCGGAUCACGAGGUCAGGAGAUCGAGACCAUCCUGGCUAACACGGUGAAACCCCG